GGCCGACGCGAAGUAGACUCCUGGCGGCGGCGACAGCGAGGUAAGCCAUCCAACUUCACCACUAGCAAAGUCGCUGGUACAGAUGCCCGUGCUACUGCAUUUGCUUGAAUGCUGCUUCCGCUGACAAAAUGAAAUGUAUCCUAUGGUGUAUCUUGAUCAAAGGUGCAAGUACGUAUCAGCCAGAUGCACCCUCUUGAUCUCCUUUUAUCUUACCGGAGUCGAAUACUGUGAGUAAAUUCACAAAGCACAUAGUUUCAUGAAGAAUUUUGUGAUGAAAAAAUUAGCUAGGGUCUCUUGGCCGUGAUCUGUUGAGGACGACCGUGUUCUCAUGCCGUGCAGGUAGCUGCCGAUUCUCCUGUGGUCCUUUAGGGCUUAUUCUGAAUUGUUUUACCUGUCAGCAGGUCUCGAUCAGAUUGUCCUUGGUGUAUCAUCCAUGCCACCAUGCCUGCCAACAUCAACUAUCAGAAUUAAUUAUUGGCAAGGAUCCCAAGCUCUGUAGUUAGCAAUAAUAAUUAAUAAAAGUGGUGACUAGUUUGCAUAAAAAAAUUAUAAAUAAGCUGACUGGUGAGUAGUACUACUAAAGAGUAAAGACACUUCUCGUUGCCGUGCUUCAUCUGCACACUGAAGCAUGACGGCCACGCCAUGUUUUCCAAAGUUUCUCAAGGGCUGGUGAGAGCAAUUAUUGGUUUGGUAAGAGAAGCAAUUAUUGGUUUGGUACACAAAUACACAUCUUGUGAACAUAGAAACUUUAACAGACCUGAGCCUGGGAGUGCUUCUCAUCAGAAGUAUGGGAUCGACGAACGGCGGCUCUUCUCAACAAAGCAGCGACUUACCUUAGCAGGCUGGGCCACAGAAAUUAUCUGAAGGCACACAGGCUACCUGCUGUGCAACAUAUCUGUCUCAGCUCUGACUUGGGGAGCAAUGGCCGAGGUUGUGAUUCUCUUGGCAGUGGCAAAGAUCGGUGUAGCUCUGGCGAAUGAAGCAACGAACCAGGCUACUUUACAUUUCAAUAACUUUAUAACACGGCUAACAGAGCUUCAAGGAAGCAUGGGUCACAUCAGAAGGGAGCUCAGGUUGAUGCAUGAAUAUCUUGGCCGAAUGGACGUGCAGAAUCGCAACAAUCAGACAUAUUAAAUCUGGGGUGGAGGAGGUGAGAAUGUUUGUUCAUGGGAUUGAGGACAUUGUGGAUGAGUAUUUGCAACUUGUUGGUCAGAAACAUGAGAGUGGAUGGAGUGCCUAUCUAAAGAAAGGAUUCAAACAACCAAAUGUUUUCUUCUCUUUAAACAGGGUAGCUUCUUUGGUUAAGGAAGCGGAGGUCAAUCUUGUGCACCUGUUCCAGGCUAAAGAACGAUGGGUGCUAAUGGUAGAUAGUGGGUAUAUGAAUGACUAAAGUUACAUUGUUGAGA